rnacentral:tRNA from 1 species
GGGGUCGUGGGCAGGCAUGGGUCGUCCUUCGGUGCAGGGCGGCGCGGCGUGGCGCCGUGCGGGCGUCGUCGGGCACGCCGGCGCGGCCCCG